AACGAACGCUGGCGGCAUGCCUAACACAUGCAAGUCGAACGAGACCUUCGGGUCUAGUGGCGCACGGGUGCGUAACGCGUGGGAACCUGCCCUUAGGUUCGGAAUAACUCCCCGAAAGGGGUGCUAAUACCGGAUAAUGUCUUCGGACCAAAGAUUUAUCGCCUUUUGAUGGGCCCGCGUUGGAUUAGCUAGUUGAUAGGGUAAUAGCCUACCAAGGCGACGAUCCAUAGCUGGUCUGAUAGGAUGAACAGCCACACUGGUAUUGAGACACGGCCCAGACUCCUACGAGAGGAAGCAGUUGAGAAUAUUGGACACUGGGCGAAGGCCUGAUCCACCUAUGCCGAGUAAGUGAUGAAGGCCUUAGGGUUGUAAAGCUCUUUUAACCGGGAUGUUAAUGACAGGACAGUAAGAAUAAGCUCCGGCAAACUCCGUG
rnacentral:rRNA from 1 species